CCCAUUAACCCCUUCCCCCCUGGUUUGGCCGUUCCGUUGUCCCCCUCCCCGAACCGUACCGUCCCGGGCCCGUCGGACCCGGUUACGGUUCGAACCGGGUAACCGGGGUGGUAAACGGUAACCCGUGGGUUAAACCGGUUAACCGUCGCCCCUUUACUUACGGGGGCGGGGGAACUUAAACUUUGUUAACGGGAAAACGUAAGUACGAAUUAAACCGUACCCGCAAAAAUUAAAAGGUCCGAACUAUCCGCUAGUAGAUUGGUAGUCUAAGGAAGGUGAUAUGAUAUCAAUAGAUGCGUACNGUCGUNUAGUNACUGUGUGAGGACGCNCACGAGCGAGACAUAUCGACCUCAGAGGGGUGAUCGGCCACACUGGGACUGAGACACGGCCCAGACUCCUACGGGAGGCAGCAGUAGGGAAUCUUCGGCAAUGGGG
rnacentral:rRNA from 1 species